AUGGUGGCAAGGCGGAAGAUCGUGUUAGCUCUGCGAUUCGGCGAAGAGCGGAUCUGGAGGUUACAUAUCGGAGCUUGGAGAAGCUUCACGCGGUGUGGUCCGGAUCUGAUGAUGAUGCGUCGAGGUUUCGCGGCGGAAGUCGGCCGUGCGGGGUAUUUGCAAGCACAUAUCGAAGGGAAAUUUUCGGUUUAUUUAAUUUCGCUGUUGUCUUCACGGCCAGAGGGAGUAUUUCGAACAGAGGAUAAAAAACGGGAACGGUGA